GCUGGGUCUAAAGAGGCCAUUGUAACGAUGGAGCUGUGCCUAUUUAAGCACAUUCACAUUUAUUAGGCACUUCAUUUCCAUUAUUACACUGUAAUAUAUAAUAAAAUAAUUAUAGAAUUCACCAUAAUGUAGAAUCAGUGGGCGUGUUAAGCUUGUUUUCCUGCAACUGGAUGGUCCCACCUGAGCGUGAUGGGAGGAAGUGACAGAUCAAUAGGUAUUAGACUCUCAUUAAGGACAGCGCAACCUAGAUCCCUCACAUGCACGGUUCACAACAGGGUGCGUUCUAUGAGAAUCUAAUGCUGCUGCUGAUCUGAGAAGGUGGAGCUCAGGCGGGAAUGUGAGCAAAGGGGAGUGGCUGUAAAUACAGACGAAGCUUUCCUCACUCCCUCACUCGACACCACUCACCUCCUGCUGUGUGGCUCCUUGCGGCUCCAUGGCUCAGGGGUUGGGGACCCCUGCUCAAGUGCAUCAGAAACGACCCUUCUUCCCACACCAGUCUUCACAGUGGUCAAGUGCAGCAACCACUUAGCUCCCAAGGCAUGUGCCUCAGCUGGCAUUUCGUCACAAUCAACAGUAAGUGGUAGCUUGAGUCACUGUGAGGUCACCUACUGGAAAUCACCAGCAUCCCAUUUCCCACUGGCAAAGAGCUCAGCACUGCCCAAAUCCCAUCUGUGUGGGUUUAUCUCCUGGGACCCUUCCUAACAUAUUAGUCAGAGUCCAAUCAGGAAGCAUAAACCACUCAAAAGUUUAAAGUGGUAAAAUUUAAUACAGAGAAUUAUUCAUUAUAACAGGUGAACAGCAUAAUGAGAGAUUGACUAGCACAAAGUAAAGAGAACUCUAGAGAAUAUAGGACUAGCCCAGGCCAGGCACGGUGGCUCAUGCCUGAAAUUCCAGCAAUUUGAGAAGCUAAUGCAGGAGGAUUGCUUAAGGAGGCACCCAAAACCCUGUCAAUUUACAUCAAGGGUAAUGAGAAUGUCCAUUCACCAUGACUCACAGUAAUCUUACUUCUGGGGAGACAAUUCAAUCUAAACAAAAGGUCAUCUGUACACACACAGUAAAAAUCUGGGAGUAACUGAAGACAGAGUUGGUAAGUGAAAUAAGAAACAGUUAUAAGAAAUUAAACUAUGGUAUCAAUAGGCACCUGGUAAAAGGUCAGUUGAUGUUAGCUGC
rnacentral:lncRNA from 1 species